ensembl:lncRNA
CAGAGACUUCUUUUGCUCUUGAUGGCCAUUUAGCUUUUUCUGAGGAAGCUGUCUAGCACCAAUUUCUCUCCUGUUCCAGACAGAUAUGCAAAAUGCUUGUAAUGAAGCUGCAAGCCAUGUGAAAAAGGCGUGACAAGAUACUGCAUGUAGCAGAGAGAGGCUCCUGCUUCAAGAAGAAGAAAAAGAAGAGAGGGCAUACUCCCGAGCCUGAAUUAAGAGCCAAGUGAAGUACCAUCCAGAGCAGUGAAAAUAUGUUUGGCAGCUAUAGAGCAGUCAGCUGCACACACAGGGAUGACAGUGUCAAAGGACAGCCUUUCAUGAGGACCAGAAGGCCCUUAAGGUCUGCUUUCAGUCUGUUACUAAACACCAAGGCUAAUAUUCUUCUCCUAAUGUGACCUUGCUGGGGCAGAGAUUUCAAAACAAGCAGCCUCUGACAACUACCUGACAAUGCAGGAUGAAUAGAAGACACCAGGAAACUCAAGACAUCUGAAAUGCUUCGGACUGCACAGUGCCAAAGACAAGUUGUGUGAUAGAUGUGAAAGGGUGUACUGCAUUGAAACCCUUUUAUACGUUUUCCUCUGGAUAACUCUGGAUAAAUAAUUUUGUGCUGACUUGAAAAGUUCCUGGAAAACUUACCUGUGUGGUGGUUGUUUUGAGAAGACUGAAGAUCCAUCCAUAUGGAGAGCUGCAGGUGCUUCUGGGUGAGGGGAAAUGGACAUGCCCUGUGGAAGCAUGAGUGGCAUGAGGGUGACUCAGAUUCUGUGCAAGUCUGACAGUGCUGUGGGGGAGAGGAACUGGGGCUCCCACUCUCCCCCCUGCACCCUGCUGGUUGAAUUGCAAGUGGAGUACAGCCAGGAGGACCACCUGCAAACACGGAGCUCAAAGAGUACAGGUUAACUAAAUGGCCUUGGAGUGAGCUGACAGUGUUCAGGAUCACAGAACUUGCAGGAACAUGAAGAGAUCUUGCCAAGUUGUGGAAAGAGAAAAAUGGAAAUGUAAUGAUGAAAUGCAAGGAAACAGUUUGGCUGUGAUGCAGCAUAAGGAUACUCCAUCUUGCCUGGAAAAUAAAGCGCUUCAGUCCCGCAAAGUUUCUUCAAAGAAACCCCCAGCCUGGAACUGGUGCGGCUCUGCAGAGGGAAACGCCGCACUGUACUUCAAAGAGGAGAAAAUCUGCAGCUGCCGGGAGCCCGCCUGCCCCAGGAGGUGUCACUGUUGGGACUGGCAGGGUGAGCUCGGGAGCUGCUGUUUGUUUUCUAAAGCCUGCUUUGACCGUGAGGUAGGAAUUGACCUGUGCUACACCUCCCCUCCCCACCCCAGCCAGCCUGGGGAAAGGGGAUCGCAGGUAAAACGAGCUGGUGGCUUCUGUGGAGGUAUGGCUAUGUAUGUAAGCGAGAUAAGAUACUCAGCAUUCAAUUUUUUUUUUUGUUUUAAGAAAUACCAGUUAAUCCAGGCUGGUUACAAUAAUUGUUUUCUCCGUUCUCAAAGUGCUGGUAAAUGACACCAAAUCAAGGGGAAUAUACCAGGACAUAUAACUUCUGUUUUUUUCCUUUUAAUACUCUUUGAUGUGAAGGACAAAUGAAUUUGCAAUGUGAUGUUUGCUGAGUAAAUGAUUUUACUAAAUAGUGCUCUCUCUUUAAAUUUUCUAAAUCAUAUGUUCUAAGGAAGAAGUGCAUACUUUUAGAGCACUCGAGGACUGAAAGUUUUCUAACCAUAUGUAUAAUGCAAAUAAUCUGCAAUGCAUAUAUAUACACAUGCACACACACACACAGCAACUUCAAGAUUAGGAAUUAUGACGAUGACUAUUCUAUUUCAUGG